GUUUCACCGUGAUCGGGAACGGACGGGCCGCUCUGGGAUACAUGAAGUGCGACCAAGACAGUGAACAUAGGCAACAAGACGGCUAGACAACAGGACGACAAGUGAAUCCAGACAACAAUACUAAACAAACAAGGGAAGAUGCAGGUCAGACUAGCCGAAGGUCCAGCGGGUGGGGAUGCUCUGGGUCAGAACCAGCAGCUCUGGGUCAGAACCAGCAGCUCUGGGUCAGAACCAGCAGCUCUGGAAACUCAUUUCAACAUCCCUGGCAGUAUGACGGGGGGCAUCACGAGAUUCUCCUGCAGCCCCCGAUCUACUGGAGGCGCGAAUGCAGACUGGGGGGAGGGCACACAGAGACCCCUAAAAAGACAGCUAAUGUAGAUGGAUGGGUGCAGCUGGCAAGAA